rnacentral:rRNA from 1 species
GGAUAACCUGCCCUUGGGACUGGCAUAACCCCGGGAAACUGGGGAUAAUUCCGGAUAACGCAUAUGUGCUGGAAUGCUUUAUGCGUAAAAUGGAUUCGUCCGCCCAAGGAUGGGUCUGCGGCCUAUCAGGUAGUAGUGGGUGUAAUGUACCUACUAGCCAGCGACGGGUACGGGUUGUGAGAGCAAGAGCCCGGAGAUGGAUUCUGAGACAUGAAUCCAGGCCCUACGGGGCGCAGCAGGCGCGAAAACUUUACAAUGCGGGAAACCGUGAUAAGGGGACACCGAGUGUCAGCAUCAUAUGCUGGCUGUCCAGGUGUGUAAAAUACACCUGUUAGCAAGGGCCGGGCAAGACCGGUGCCAGCCGCCGCGGUAACACCGGCGGCCCGAGUGGUGAUCGUGAUUAUUGGGUCUAAAGGGUCCGUAGCCGGUUUGGUCAGUCCUCCGGGAAAUCUGAUGGCUCAACCAUUAGGCUUUCGGGGGAUACUGCCAGGCUUGGAACCGGGAGAGGUAAGAGGUACUACAGGGGUAGGAGUGAAAUCUUGUAAUCCCUGUGGGACCACCUGUGGCGAAGGCGUCUUACCAGAACGGGUUCGACGGUGAGGGACGAAAGCUGGGGGCACGAACCGGAUUAGAUACCCGGGUAGUCCCAGCCGUAAACGAUGCUCGCUAGGUGUCAGGCAUGGCGCGACCGUGUCUGGUGCCGCAGGGAAGCCGUGAAGCGAGCCACCUGGGAAGUACGGCCGCAAGGCUGAAACUUAA